CAGCCCAAAUCCGAUGGGAAACUCCAGCAUGCUGUCAUCUGUUCAGACGGAGUGACAUUUGUCUGGAAUCUGCACAAGCCAGUUCUCACCCUCUGACGGGACGCCCACGGACCCUUCGCAGACUUUCUGAUCAUUACUACAAGUCAAAGUUUUCAAAAUCGCAAGACGCUUUGCCUGAGAGAGCUUCUGAGGAAGAACUAACCAGACUGAAGCCGAUGAUCAGCGCCGCCGGAGGCAAGAGACUCUAUCAGUACCAGACUGUCUUUGUUU